rnacentral:rRNA from 1 species
GUGUCAGCCGCCGCGGUAAUACGGGGGGUGCGAGCGUUGUUCGGAAUUAUUGGGCGUAAAGAGCGUGUAGGCGGCCGAAUAAGUCAGAUGUGAAAUCCCUGGGCUUAACCCAGGACGUGCAUUUGAAACUAUUCGGCUUGAGUAGGGGAGAGGAAAGUGGAAUUCCUGGUGUAGAGGUGAAAUUCGUAGAUAUCAGGAGGAACACCGGUGGCGAAGGCGACUUUCUGGCCCUAUACUGACGCUCAUGCACGAAAGCGUGGGUAGCAAACAGGAUUAGAUACCCUGGUAGUCCACGCCCUAA